rnacentral:rRNA from 1 species
GAUGAACGCUGGCGGCGUGCCUAAUACAUGCAAGUCGAGCGAACAGAUGAGGAGCUUGCUCCUCUGACGUUAGCGGCGGACGGGUGAGUAACACGUGGAUAACCUACCUAUAAGACUGGGAUAACUUCGGGAAACCGGAGCUAAUACCGGAUAAUAUAUUGAACCGCAUGGUUCAAUAGUUAAAGACGGUUUUGCUGUCACUUAUAGAUGGAUCCGCGCCGCAUUAGCUAGUUGGUAAGGUAACGGCUUACCAAGGCAACGAUGCGUAGCCGACCUGAGAGGGUGAUCGGCCAGACUGGAACAGAGACACGGUCCAGACUACUACGGGAGGCAGCAGUAGGGAAUCUUGCGCGAAGGGCGAAAGCCUGACGGAGCAACGCCGCGUGAGUGAUGAAGGUCUACGGAUCGUAAAACUCUGUUAUUAGGGAAGAACAAAUGUGUAAGUAACUAUGCACGUCUUGACGGUACCUAAUCAGAAAGCCACGGCUAACUACGUG